ensembl:lncRNA
CAAAAAGCUCAAGGACGUACAUACAGUAGCUCUAAACCUGCAGUGGUGUGGGGGAUGUUUCUUGACUGAUAUUGGAAGUGUAGAAUUAGCAUAAUCAGCAGUCAUUACUCCAGAGUCUCUGGACUCUUUGAUACUCUUGCUGUGAGCAGAAUGUGCUUCAACAUGCUGUGUUCCACUCAUUGAGAAAAUGAAAGAUUUGAAGAGACUGUGGAUUAAUGAUCUCCAGUUGGCCAGUUUCACUUGUGUAGGUAACAGCAGAUGGCAGAAGAGGGGCAGUCUGACAAAAUGGUGUCUGACAUGGAAGUGUGGAUGAAGCAAAGGUGUGUCACUGACUUCCUUCAUGUGGAAAAAAUGCCACCCACUGACAUUCAUCAGUGCUUGCUGAAUGCUUAUGGAGACCAAAAAGUGGAGAGCAUGUUCCCUAGCCUCACAGACCUCAGAUCUGUAGUUGAAGCACUGGAGCUGAAACCGUAUCAUUGGCACUGGGACAACUAGGCUGGACUUGGAUAAUUCCGGAAUCCUCACUGCAAGACCUGAUACAUCUUCUCAGAUGGGACAGUUAAGCAGUUUCACUGUUACUUGCUCUCCUUCUUCCCUAUUCCCCUGUGGUUGAUUCACACAAAAAUAAAUUAUCUUCAUCAGCUAUACUUUUCAUGCACAGCUCUUGGUCUAGGCUGCUGGUUUAAAAGAUCUGAAUUAAAAUCUAUUUACUUCCAGUGUCACGCUGAAAUACUGGUUUAUUUGCAGGAAAUGUUUCAUUUUGUUUUUCUUUUAGGAUUCUUUUUUCUUUCACUUCCUUUAUUUUAAGAUAUAUUUUACCACUUCCUAUUUCAGCCUUUGUAUAAGUACUUGUUGAUAAUCUAUUAUUUUUUCUAAUUAUAUUUUUAUAUCUCCUUUAUUCAGUGUACUACUGAAGGAAAAGCAGAACAAUAAUAAAAGUAAAUGAGCUAUAUGGUUGAGAUGAAAAUUAAAUAGCCUUUCUGAAUUUGUCAGUUUUCUACAUAGUUUUUAUUUGAGAGUUUAUUAUAAAUGCAACCAUGCUGAAUUGAAGUUGUAAAGACUUGUUCUGCCUUUCCCUACUUCCUUUGUGCUUGCUUUUGUGGCUGUGGUGAAGCAUGAAGUAUUCAAUUUAAUAAUUACAUUUAAAAGAAAGUUAAUUAUACAAAGCUGCUCUGUGCCACAUCCACAUAAAUACAUUUAGUUGUCAAAUUUGCUGAAAUUUGAAUCUCCCUGGAAGAGCAUUAGUAUUACAGUUUUGCACACUUCAACAGCAGCUAUGUAAAUACUCAACUCUGAAAUCAAAUGCUAAUUUUUCCCAAGGAUUAGAUAAGUCAUGUAGCUAAUAUUUUUGUUGACUUUUAUCCCAAUAAGAUUUGCACUGUCCUACUUACAAUGUGAAAAAAUAGAUUUCUGGUUAGGACACUUGGCAAUCACGGGGAUGUUGCAGUUCAGAUCCAGUUGUUGAUGUGUUCUCAUACAUUUUCAGUCACAUCAUGUUUUUAAAACAUGCUCAGUCAUAUUUUUAGGAUAUGUUGAUUUUUUUUUGUGUUUGGAGGUGAAGACAAUAUUUUACACAGUCAUAUAUACUGUAAGCUGCUAAAUAGCAUAUCCUUUUAAUGUGACAAAUAUCUAUACUGUUAGCUAACAUGGACAGUGCAAUCUCAUUGUGGGAGUUAAGUGAUGAGAUGAAAUAGCCCAUGAUCUUGGAAAUGUGGGUUACAGUUUCUUAGGUAUUACAGACUAUAUCACUAAUGAAGCAAUUUGUUCUGUGUCCACUCACAUUUCAUUUGCUGCCAUCAACAAUUAAGAGAUGUCGUAGUAAGGUCAUCGUAGAUUAACACCUUGUCUUUGCAAAGAUCUCAUUAAAAUAGAGAGGAAUUCUAAUUCCUAGCCAAGAUAAUGUUAAUUUGAUGAGAGAAUAAAUAUUGUGGAAGCAAUUUGUGCAAGAGAAAUGAAUGUUAAAGGUAUUAUUCUCUUUUCAAUAAAAGAAGUAAUUCUUACAUGGAAAGAUAGCCUAUUGAAAAAAAUAGUCAGACAUGUUACUGCAGGAAAUGGUUAGAUACCUUGGCCUGGUUAAGGAAGCAUGUCAUGUUGUCCGAGAUUUGCACAGAUGUGCAGAGCCAUAAAUAAAUUGAACAGAAAAUAAGAUUUCUCCCUUUGCUGGUUGCCAGUGUUACAGUUAAACUACAAAGAAAGUAAUUUCUCCAACCAUCAUACAUUUACUUCCCAGUCAUCCUCGAAUGCUUGUAACAGUGAAGGGCGUUGUAAUUGACAUUUCAUUCUAAUACACUGGCUGCCUUGCCUGAAUUUUGGCUGGUUGAUAAGGCUCUUGGAAAUCCAGAGUCUCAUCAUGUCCUGAACAAUUUCAAUCCAGCCCUGUGGCAAUCUAAGCGCUUAACCAGCAAAACAGGAAAGACAAUAUUUGGAGAUGCUACCUUUCAAAAUGCACACAGCAGAGUAACUGAAAUAAUCAAAUUGCUCCUGAAUAAUCCUUUUUCAAAUUUGAAAGCAGAAUGAAGAAAAGAUUUAAAAGAAUAUACAUGUCAAUUUAAGCAAAUAAAAUGUGCAGACAUGAAUUCAUCACAACUGUAUUGUCACUGACGUUGCAUUUCAGAUAAAUUUGAUGAUAAUAUCACAUUUUUUUAAAGGAGGAAAAAAAUCAAUAAUUUUGUCUACAGACUUUGCAUUAUAUUCCAGUUACUUGAAAGAAAAUGUCAUGUGCAUCAACUCAUUCUUCAGGAUGUACUUUCUGAAAAGAUGUGGAUAAUAUUACAUAGACUAAGGGGAACACAGCUACGUUUGAGCUGCUUUAAGGCAAUGGUCCAUGUGCAUGCCCUACCAUGUGGAACUCUGUUGAGAAUCAGAGUUUAUUCAGAAUCACAAAAACACAGAAUUGCAGAAAUUGAAAGAGACCUCAAGAGAUCAUCGAGUCCAGCCUGCCCCUGCUAAAGCAGGUACCCUACAAGAGGUCACACAGGUUGUUGAUGAUGUUGAACAAGACCAGACCCAGCACUGACACCUGGGAAGCACCGGUAAUUAAAGGCCUCAAGCCAGAUUCUGUGCUGCUGAUGACAACCCUGUGAGCUCUGACAGUGAAACAGUUCUCAAUCCAGCUCACUGUCCACUCAUCUGUGCCACAUUCUCUACAUUUCAUAACCAGGAUGUUGUGGGAGACGGUGUCAAAUGCCCUACUGAAGUCACGGUACACAACAUCCACUGCUCUCCCUCCGUGUACCCAGACAGUGGUGACAUCAUAGAAGGAUAUCAGGUUGGUCAAGCAUGAUUUCUCCUUGGUGAAUACAUAUUGACAACUCUUGAUAACUUUCUUCUCUUCCAAUUGCUUGGAGAUGGCGUAAAGAGCAAGUUGUCCAUCAUCUUUCUAGGGAUGGAGGUGAGGCUGACUGGCCUGUAGUAUCCCAGAUCCUCCUUCUUGCCCUUUUUGAAGACUGGAGUGACAUUCUUUAUCUUCCAGUCUUCAGACACCUCUCCCAUUUGCCAAGACCUUUCAAAGAUUAGAUAGAUAGCAGUUUAGCAGUCAUCUCUUUUAGUUCUCUCAGCACAUUUGGGUACAUCCCAUCAGGUCCCAUGGUUUUAUGUACAUUGAUUUUGGCUAGAUUCACUCUGACCAGAUCCACCUUGAUCACUGGAAAGUCCUCCUUUGCCCAGACUCUCUUACCUCCAGGGUCUGGAAUUCCAGAGGGCUAGUCUUAGCAUAAAAGACUGAAACAAAGAGGGCAUUCAGGAUCUCUGCCUUCUCAGCAUCCCCUGUUACCAAGGCACCCAUCUCAUUUAGUAGGGAACCCACAUUUUCCCUAGUCUUCCUUUUACUGUUGACAUAGUUAAAAAAAAUAUUUCUUCUUAUCCUUUUCCUCCUUUGAAGGGUUUAAUUCCAAGAGGGCCUUAGCCUUCCUACAAUUCCUGAAAACAUUCCUUACUCUUGCCACCUUUUCCCAGUUUCUUACUCUUACUGGCCCAGGAAUGGACCAGUCUUGAGCUUGGAAGAAAUUGUGUUUAAGCACCAACUAGCUCUCAUGGUUCCCCUUUCCUUCUAACACUCUAGCCCAUGGAAUAACUCCAAGUAGGUCUUUGAAGAAGUUGAAUUUGUCUCUCGUGAAGUCCAGGGUAGCAAUUCUACUUAUUGCUUUGCUUCUCCCACACAAGAUCUUGAACUCCACCAUCUUGUGACUGCUGCAUCCCAAGCUUCUCCCACAUAUCACAUCCCUGACCAGCCCUUCCUUGUUAGUAGAAACAAGUUCAAGUAGCACACCCCUCCUAGUCGGCUCCUCCACUACUUGUGUCAGAAAGCUGUCAUCAAAGCAUUGCAGGAACUGCCUGGACCUUGUGUGACUGUCCAUGCUUCUUAACCAACAAAUAUCAGAAUGGUUGAAAUCCCUGAUAAGAACCAGUGCUGGGGAUUGCAAGGCUUCUUCCAGCUGUUUGUAGAAGGCCUCAUCCACUUCCUUCUCCUGAUCAGGUGACCUGUAGUACACAUCCACAACAAUGUCACCUAUGUUAGCCCUCCCCUUAAUUCUUACCCACAAAUUCUACACUUGUUCCACCCAAGUGGAGCUCAAUACAUUCUAAUUGCUUUCUUGCAUGAACAGCAACUCCACCACUUCAUCUUGCCAGCUGGUCUUUCCUUAAGAGGACAUAGCCAUCCAUGACAGCAUUCCAGUCAUGUGAGCUGUCCCACCAUGUCUCCAUGGCUGCAAUGAAAUCAUGGCCCUGUGAUCACACACAGAUAUAUAGUUCUUCCUGUUUAUUUCCCAUGCUGUGUACAUUGGCAUAUGGGCACUUUAGGGAAGCAGAGGGUGCAGAUAUCUCUAGAGGAGUGCUGAGGGUUUAAGCUGAGCUAUUGGCAAAGGAAACUUGUUAACCUAAGUUAAAUAAUUAAAAAAGGAAGUAUCUGAGAGGUAGGCCUGAGAAGUACUGAUAAUUGCUGUCAUACCUUACGAGAAUAUUAAAAAUCAUUUGUCUGUUCCUCUUCCCACUUUAUACUACAUCAUUCACUCAAAUUUGCAUGAUGUUUUCAAUUGCUUCAUGUUGAAUAUCAGAUUAAGAAGUAUCACAUAUCCAGUAUAAUUUCUUAUCCCUUCCUGGGUGCAUCUUCAUGUUUACUGUCAUUCACACUGGAAAUUCCCAGUAAAUACAAAAAAUGUGAGAAUACCAUGAAUGUAAGUCACUGAAAGUGGUAUCUCCUGUUUACUUCCAUGGAAAACAAAACAGAUACAAAGAGCACAAUAACGCUAUUUGAUAGAGCAAAUUCUAAGCCACAAACUACUAUUUUUCAACAUGAUUACCUUUACUUUUGCCAGCAGCGAACAAGAGUUUCCAUGCCACGUUCAUAAAAUCUGCUCCAUUGGAGGCGACCUACUGCUGCUAUCACCAUUGCUGAAACACAUCACCCACCACCUCACUGCUCACAUACACUGUUUGGUCUCCAUAAGCAUUCAGCAAGUAUUGAUGAAUGUCAGUAGGUACAAUUAUUUUUGAAUGGAGGAAAUCAAUGACACACCUUUGCUUCAUAACACCCUACAGUAUUUUAUCAGACUGCCCCUCUAACGCCAUCCAGCACACAGCAACAAAAUAUAGAGUAUUGGUGGGAAGGUUCAGCCUCUACUGCUAUAUAACCAACAUUCCAUGUCUGCCAUUGCAGGCCAAUGUAAUAAAAUAUGAUGCAUCACUUUUGGAGCAGCCAUCAUGCCAUGAGUAUUUUGGCUUUCAUAUAUUGUAACUGAUAUAAUAUGUUCAACUUUUCUUAAUAUAAUAGUUUAGAGUCUUAUUUUUAUUUACUAUUUUCUUUCUUGUUCCUAAGAAAGUCUUUGAAUGUUGCAACUCUCAUUAUCCAGUCUUGCUGGGAAAACCAUAAAAAAGUCAAAGCACCUAUAUAUGUAGAAAAUAUAAUAUGAAGCAAAUCAAGAAUGAAAGAUAAAGAAUUAACUCAGAAAACAAUGAGAUUUGUAUUUUAAAAAAUACAUAACUUUGACUUUUUAUUAUUAUUCACAUAUAUUCUGCCUACAAGUUCUAAACUCUUAGAAAUACUGCAGUUGAUAAUCACACAGAGCAUUCCAAAAGCACCAAUAAAUUCAGUGAAAUACUCAUGAUGGUGACCUUAUGUUAUUAGUGUUACCUCAAAAAAGUCUCAAUAUAUGUAGCUGACAGCUGUACAUGUGCAUUUUGCUUCGGUAUAUCAGAUUUUUGUGCAGAUGAAGAUUGUGUUAUGACUGUCUCUUUCAUAGGUGAUAACAGUUCUGUUUCUCUUUGAGAGGUGCAAAACACAAUUGCUCCUAUGUGAUCCACAGACCUUAUGGAUGUGGAGGGUGAAAUAUUACUUAGGACAACUGUGUAGAUGCAACAAACUAUCAGCAUUGCAUAAACCAUUCUCCAUAUUUUGUCAUUUGACAGUUUCUGAUUUAUGCUGUUUCUCCAUCCAUCUGAAGUAGGUGUUUUUGUGCUUGUGUCAUGACUCUGUGUGAGUCCAGUUUCCUUCAGACAUACUUCUGGUUCCUGGCAUUACUCUUUCACCACACAGACUGUACGGAGUGCAUUUCAAAAGCUACCCUACCAAAUAAAAUAAUGGCUAUUUCUAGAAAUGUUGGUAGACCAAACUCUUUCUGUAGGCAGUCUUAGGCCAGUUGUAAAUAUCUAUAUUUAAAAAUACAAGCAUAACUCUAGAUUCCAGAGCAGCAGAAGUAUCUCAUUGAAUCAACUCCGUCUGUUUUUAGGCAUACUUUCAUGAUUCACAAAAUGAAGUCUUAUCUAUUACUUUCUACAGACCUUGUUCUUCUUCUUGUUUUCCUUUAAAGAAGAAAAGAUGCAAAAGCGGUGGUACCUACAUGUAGAAUUCUGAAAAUAAUGGAAAUUAAGAUAAUAAAUCUCUCCUAACAAGAACAUAUAUGAUGUUUCUGCUUCUUAGAGAUAAGUCAGGUGUUUGGAAAGCUUCUUGCAAUCACUGAGUGUAGUGCUUUAGAAGUCUUGUCUGUUGAGUGAGAAAAAAGAACAAAUAGAAGGCAGGUCUUUCUUAUAUAAGGGUUUCUAACACUCAGUAUUCAUCAAAGCCUCUAUCCUGUCCAACCCUUUUACAAUGAUCUCAUUUUCAUGAGAAGAAACAAGUGUUUGUUAAAGUAUUACGUCUCCUGCUAUAUAUCAAGGGUUUGUGACAAAGCCCGAACAAGUGACCAAGACACAUCUUUUAUACAUUUUCAGUCCUAAAGAAGAGACUGGACUGGGGCUUUCUUAGAGUCAUAUUCCUUGUAUCCACAAACAAGUAACGAUGUUGCAUAAAUUAGCGACUGCAUCUACCCUUUCUAAGAGAGGAAAGGAGAUGUUUUCUGUGUAAUAAAUCGGCUGCAAGACUAACUAAAUGCAUUUUGUAGUACUUUUUAUGGAGCAAGUGCAAUAUUUUUUACAGAUAAAGCAUAGCCAAGAGCAAAGGUUGAUGAUGGCUAUAUAAUUAAAGGCAUUCAAACUGUGCAAGUUGUCUGCCAACAAACGCUUUGCAAUGAAAAAGGCUCCAUAUUCAGCAACUGCUUUAAAAAUACUGUUCAAGCAUGGAUUUCCUUAAACUACCACUUGUCUGGCAAUGGCUUCCUCACCUGUGUAAUAAGAUUAAGAGAUCUACUUGAAAGCCAGAAAAGCUUUGCAAGUCAAGUGGAUAUUUGCAUAUUUUACAUUGCCAAAUACCUAAAGGAGAGAAACGUUUUCUGAAAGAUGAGGAAAACGUACAGAACACUAGAACUAGCACAAGGUUUUUAGACUCAAAGCAGCCCAAGUUCCUGAUUUUUGCCAGCUCUGCCAGCAUUGUUAAGUUAGUAAAAAAUAAAAAUAAAAAUCUGUUUGCAAUGACUGCAUGAACUUUACAAACUAGUAAAUAGUUAAUAUUUAAUCUUAAAUGUACUUCGGGUUUUAAAUCAAGAGAAACUAUUUCAGUGUCUCAGGUGUCAGAUGGGGUAGCUAAUGAAGUGCUUUCUUGAGUGAUUUCUGUCACAAGCCUGCAUUCUGCAAAAUAGACCUUGGAAGAUUACAGAUACAUCAGAGGUAUCUGUAGAUACCUUUCAAGAAUAAAAAUAACAAAAUAACCUUACUGUAGUGUUUUGUGACAUUUAUUUUCUUUGAAUAGCAAAAUACACUCUAUAUCAGUUUCAAAAAUAAAAUAAAUUUUAAAAAGUGUCAAUUUUCUUAAUGUGAUUUGCUUUAUUUUGCUAGCAUGAGAUUACUGAAAUCAGUUGGAAUACCUGAAUACAUUAAAAAUAGGGGAAAUGCAAUGUGUUAUGGGCAAAAAGUUCUAUAUUGAAUAGAAAAUUAUGGUAAGUCACAAAUAUUUCUGCUUAGUCUUAUACUAAGUACAGGCAAACAGUAAGCUUUCUCUUUUAAAUCCUGCCAGUUCAGGCCAGUAGUGACCCACAGUAUACUUUUCCUGUCCAGAAUUUCUCUUGAGAAAAGCUUGCCAAUCACACAAAAUUACUUGGUGCUUUGGGGAUCUGGACAUAUACAGAUAAGGGAAUCAACUACCAAACUUAUUUGAUGUGUAUCAUAAAUCAGAAGUGAACGUUAGUCUCCCAAGGGAACAAAAAAAAAUGGCCUACUGUAUUAAAAUACUUUGAUACCUUUGAUGUUCAAUGUUUAGAGCAUGAACUAUUUUCUAAACAUCUUUGAACUGAAGCUGAAAGAUACACUACUGAAAUCUACUCUUGCCUUCCUGCCUGCUUUUUUUUUUUUUUUUUUUUUUUUUUUUUUUUUUUUUUUUAACCAGCAAGGAGCAUCAAUUCCAUCUUAGACACAGAUAUGUGAUCAUUUGGCAAUGCUCUAAAAUUCUAAUUUAAAAUUGUUAUUUUCUUCUGUGCACAGGAAGACAUUUUUUGGUGGUUUUCUUUCAGGGGAGUGAAUGGUUUUUAGUUUUUCACCAAUUGAUAUCAUGAGAGAGAAUGAAAGACUGUGUAUACAUAAGCCACUGAAUAAUCAGUGAACCCAUUUAAGAGAGAUACCUACUGAGGUCAAUGAAAUUGGCAAUCUAAUGAACAAUCUAAUAGUAUUGUUACAAGUUUUAUGGUUUCUGUUUGUAAUUAACUUUAUGUGACAUUUAUUAUAAAAAGAUCGAAAAUUAUUAGUAGCAAUUACAUUUAAUGCAGCCAUGCAAUUGCACUUAUAUACUUAUUCAACUUUUAUUUUCAUUGACUCCCUGCUUCCUAAGUUAAUGCCUCUCUAUGUAUCAAACAACUUCAAUGUUUAUGAACUUUGGCCAAUAUGAGUAGAAAGUCUUUGUUUUCAUAAUGAUUUAUUUGAAUUCAGUUCUGUGGAUUUUAUCUGGAUACAUUUCUUGCUAUAUGAGAGAAAUCUCUUGAACAAAAGGAAGAAAAAGUAAUCCUUUAUAUUGUACUCAGUUCAUAGUUUCUUUGAAGUGAUGCUGAUAAAGGCAGUUUUGUGUUUUUCAGAAUGGAUUACUAACACAGUAAUAAUCAAAGAGCUGAUUUGUGUCAGUUGUACCACAUAGGGAAGACCCUCUAACUAGAUAUUUUAGAUGUUGAUAGCAUUUAUGAUUGAGUUUUGUAUAUACUUUGUUACAGAUGUGCAUAACUGUCAAAACCCAGGUUUUGUGAAAUGCUAAAAUGAACACACAGACACUGAAAAUAUGAAAAAGUUACAAUUAUGUUAUUCACCACUGAGUUUACAAAAACAGCACAGGUGUCAUUGCCACAGCAAGUCCAUAGAGUUAGUCUGUAUGUUCCACUGCCUCGUCCUGUAGCCCUGAAGUCACAGGUGCCACUGUCAGGCUGAAACCUCCUUUCAGAUGCUCUCUGUCUGGAAGCUUCAAAUCUACUGGAGAAUUCAAAUAGAUGCGAAAAGUCUUUGCAUUUUCUCUACUCAUAUUCACACUGUUCCUUGCCAGUGCUGUCAUAGCCAUGGACUCUACAGGAACAUAAGCAAAAGUCAUUCCAUAUCAGGGAAAAGCAUGUGAUACAGUCACAACAGCCCCUUGUAACACAAUAAGCAUAGGGCAAAGUGGCUGGAAAGCUCCAUACUGGAGAAGGAUUCGGGGGGUUAGUUGACAGCCAGCUACACAUGAGCCAGCAGUAAGCCCAGAUGUCCAAGAAGGCAUCCUGGGUUAUAUCAGAAAUAUUGUCUGCCCAGGGAAGUGGUGGAUUCACCAUCCCUGGAUGUUUUCAAGGAAAGGGUAGAUAUGACACUUAGGGACAUGGUUUGUGGGCAUGGUGGUGAUGAAUCAGUGGUUGAAUUAGAUAAUGUUAGUGGUCUUUUUCCACCUUAAUGAUUCUCUGAUCCUAUGAUCAUUAAAUAGGGAAGAUAUCUGAAUAAUAGUUCCAAGGAGGCAUAUAGCAGUUUCAGGGAGAAAACUUAUUGACAGACUGGAACAUUUUGAAAUUUCCAAAUUAAAAUUUCUGAACAAUUAUUUUAUCUGUGCAAAAAUCAUAUUUGGAUAUUUUACAACAAUCUGUGGGGAGGGCUACUGUUACUUUUGAUAAUAAUUCAUUGGUGCUUUUAUUGUUUCUUGGCUGACUUUCAACAUGUAGCUCCUACAAUGCAAGGGAAGGUAGACACGGUUUCUGUUACUACACUGAUGGAAUAUUGAAACCUGAAUUGAAGUGCAUUAGCUGAAGUCAGACAAGGUUGUGGUAGCGAUCACUAGGGAAAUUAGAAAACCUUGAAAAACUUUGAAGACAUUUUUUGCUAGGGCACCUAUGUAUUAAAAAACUGUGUCUCUCAGUUAUGAUAAAAUUGUAUUACAUAACCUGAGUGAUCUCAGGAGUUAGUAAGUGACUGAUUUUCUGUUCCCUUGGUAAGCAAUAAUUCAUGCAAACAGAUUGACUGAAGUUUUACCGUGCUAGUGUAAAGAGAAAACAGUGAAAUAUUGUUUGAGAUGUUUUUACAAGUGAAAAUGACAGCAUAUGAAGAAAUAUGUUAUAAAACAGGACAGUAUUAAAAAAGUAAAGAAAGCUAAGCUCAGUCUUUUGAAGAAAAAUAUUAAAGAAGUUGGUAGGAAAAAAAAAGAACUCGUUUCAUGUACAUAGAGAGAAAACAGGCAUUAAUAACCUGCAUGUGCACAGAUCAGCAAAUUUAUGAAGAUAUGUAUGAACAGAGAACACGACUUCAAAGCCAUUUGUAAUUACAGAAUGGUUUAUAUUUAAUCCUAAAUGUAUGGAAGGGGAUAAUGAGCUGGGAAAAAAUGAAGGCAUAUCGAACUAUUCUAGCAAAAACAAGGGAAUUUUUGCCAUUUUGUGUACUUUCUAUAGGCUAGAGGGACAAAUUUGUGUAUAGUAGAGUUCCUAUGAAAUUCAGGGUUCUGAUUUGACACAUGAAGUGAAAACAUCUUGGAUGCUUUAAUUUUACUGUGAAAAAACAGCAUAUGAUAUCAUGCACAUUAUAUAUGCAUAUAAAUGAUAUUAUUUUAUGGGUUUUAUGAUCUUUGUUACUGGUAUUCCACAUCAUAAUAUCAUGUAAAGCAUUGGGAGUUAAAAGUUGAGAACAAUUAAUUCUGUUAUUUUUUAUGUAGCAGCUAAUCACAAGGCAAAAUGCUUCCUUUGAUAGGAUCUGAGAAACUGAAAAGCUUGCCUCAGAGAAGUAUUCAUCUCAGCUAAUUUUAAACACUUAUAACAUGGAAGUCUGCAUCUGAGCUAAUGGCCUUAGGCACAUAUGACCUUUCCCUGGUCCACCAUAGAUGAGAUGAGAAGAAAUCUGAAUCUAAAUCCAAAAGAGCAUUUGAAUGUGGAAGUAAAAGCCUGCAUUGUGAAGCCUGAGAGAGAAAUUUGCCCAUGCUUAAUGGUAUUAAUAAAGAUCUGGGGAAGUAGAAUUGAAAAAUUCAGAAGCUUUUUUUUUUUUUUUUUUCUUUUUAAUAUCUUGAUGUCUAAGAAUAAAUAAUAAUCCUUUUUCUUUGUAUUCACUUAAAACCGUAAGUUUGCCAAGACAAUUAUUUUCUUGUUUUCCAUAGUUAAUAUUCUGCAAAGUCUUCAAUAAGGAGGUUUCACAGAUGAUUUAAGAACACUUUGAAAGUAUAAUGUACUUCUGUGAAAUGUGGAGGCUGCGAUGAAAUAUUUAAACAUCAAUGGAUUGAGAUGGAAAAUACCUAAUGGCUUUCCUUGCGGAAUCAUGUAUUGAAUAUUUUGGAUUCAUUUUAAAUCUUAGGGGAUCCACCUAACAGUUUAAUUGCUGAGAAAAAAAAUGCUGCAAUUGACAUCUAAACCAAAUUGCUUUAACCAAGUCCUGAAUUAAAAAUAUUUGUGUUUUUAUUACAGAAUAUGAAUUUCAAUAUAUCCGUAAUGGCAGAAUCUCCCAAAAAGCUAUUAACUGAGAUAACUGGCUGAGGAAAUCAACCCACUAAGCAAUUUUGUGAAAAUUAAAAUUCAUUUUCCACACAUUGUAGUGUACUGGUUCAGUAUAGCACCAGUUCAGUAUAGCACCUUUUUCUGUGAUAUUUCCCAUUUGUUAAAAUAGGAGUAGUAGUCAUCCUGUUUCUACCAGUUUAAGAGCCUUAAUACCAGCAAAGCAAGAGUGCUGAGGAUUUGACAGACACGCUUAGGUCAUUAUUUCAUAGUGCAAAUAUUUUUUAAGUAUGUACAAGGUAAAACCAAAUGAAACAAAUCCAUUAAGCAUCAUUUUUUAUAGCUUUUCUUCCUAUUCCUUGGAAACCUCUGGGGACAGUGAUUCCACCACCUCCCUAGGCAGCCUGUUCCAAUACUUCAUCACUCCAAGAACUUUUUCCUGAUAUCCAACCUGUUCAGCUAUCCCCCAGUUCAACUCAAAGCCGUUACCUCUUAUACUACUACUGUUACAUGUGAGAAGAGACCAGCCUCCAUCUUGCUACUUCUUCCUCUCAGACUAUUACAGAGCUGUAAGAUCUUUCCUGAGCCUCCCCCUCUCCAGACUAAACAAUCCCAGUUCCAUCAGCUGCUCCCCACAGGACUUUUGUUCCAGACCUUCCAGCAGCUUCUUUGCCCUUCUUAGGAUAUGGUCCAGGGCCUCAGUGUCUUUCUUGUAGUGAGGGGUUCAAAACUGAACGCAGUAUUUGAGGUAUGGCCUCACCAGUGCUGUGUACACGGCAAUGAUCGAUCUCAUGCCUAGUUCUGCUGACUACACUCUUUCUGAUACAAGCCAGAAUGCUAGUGUUCUUGGCUACCUGAGCACACUGUUGAGUCAUGUUCAGCUGAGCACUGGCCAAGAAUCCCAGGUCAUUUUCCACCAUGCAGGUUUCCAGCCACUCUACCCCAAGCCUGUAAUGUUGCACGUGGUUGUUGUGACCAAAGUGCAGGAUUCAGUACUUGGUCUUGUUGAAGCUCAUGCAAUUGGCCUCAGUCCAUCAAUCUAGACUGUCCAGAUACCAACGUAGAACUUUUCUACUCUCAGACAUGGUUUCAUCUGAAGAUUUACUGAUGGCCCACUUAAUCACCUUGUCCAGAUCAUCAAUGAAGAUAUUAAACAGGACCAGCACUAAUACUGACCCCUGGAGAACACCAUUUGUGACUGGUCACCAGCUAGAUUUAACUCCAUUCACCACCACACUCUGGGUCCAGCCCUCCAGCCGGUUCUCUACCCAGUGAAGACUGUACCUGUUCAAGCCAUGGACUGCCAUCUUUUCCAGGAGAAUGCUGUGGGACACAAUGUCAAAGGCUUUAUUCAUGUCUAGGUGGACUACAUCCAUAGCUUUUCCCUCAUCUACUAGGGAAUUUUUGUAGUCAUGAUCCAAAUUUUCAGAAGGUAUCUCUGUAUCCUGAUGAAGAGAUCUUUUAAAUGGCUCAUUGAAGGAGACUCAGAUUGCCUAGAAACUGAUGCGCAUUAUGGUUCCACACCCUUACUCAUAAUUUUUAUAAUUAAUAAAAAUUCAGAGAGAAACUCCUUCCAUUUUAAAUUUGCCCAUAGCACUCCUGUGCUAGAGUUUAGAAUUCUCGACUCUGAAGAUAAACGGAAAAUUAUUUUUUCUAAUUGUAUCCAGGAGCUUUUAUGUAGCAUAUUUUAAAAUGUCACAAAAUAAUGAAGUUUAGAUAAGCCAUUAAGGAAAAAACAUGUUUUUCAACUGAGUAAAGAUGCCAGCAAUUCAAACAAUAGUGCUGCAUUUGUCAGAUAAUUAGCCAAUGAUUGUCUUUUGAACUCUGAAAAUAAAUUUAGAAGGAGCAGAUAUGCUGUGCUGUAAAAUGUGAGAGCUUUCAGAGUUUUUUUUUCUUCUUCUUUUUAAGACUUUUGCUUAAAGAUUUUUUUUUGAAGUGUUUUCUAACUAAGUACUUGAAUUAUGUACACAUGAAUAGCCUUUAAGGAAAUCAUACAGGUCUCUUCAACUAUAUGCUAUACAGAUUUUAAUUUUACAGAUUUUUAUUAUUUUAGUUCCACUAAAUGCUUUUAGUUAAGGUUGACCAAAAUUUUCCCCUUUGAGACCAGUUUUUAAAUUCCUUGUAAUUGCCAUAUUUAAACUGUUCAUGCUGUUGUGCCCCAUGCCAUAUGUCUACUCUGGGAUGAAUCAGUUUGGAAAAUUCCAUAAAAAUGGCUCAGUAGUUUUGCAGUAUUGACAAAAAUGCUUUUUUUUCCCCCCAUAACUAAUAUAUUAUGCUGAAGCAGUUAACUUGAAUACUGUUGUUAUUUCCUAAUGAACCUCUGUUUAUGUUGUAUUGAUGUCCUGUAGAAAUGAGUCCAAAUGAAACUUCUGAUAAAAUCUUAGUAACUUGUGGGAAUACAAGAAAAACUGUUCAGAGGAGCAGCUGUGGAGCAAGAUAAACAGCAGUAAGCAAAAGAGCAAAACAAACAAAAAUUGAUCUCUCCUCCCAGCUAUUCAUUUUACUAGGGAUCAAACUCUAUGGUCAAGUAAAAGUUUUUGAUGAACGUUACUUUAGAAUAAAUAUAUCUAAUUAAUUGAAUAGUACUUAAAACGUCAUUUCAACUCUACACAUUUAUUUUUUAGGUGCAAAUCUUUCCCAAGAAUAUUCACAGAACAGAGAAUCAGGCGUAAAACCUAUCUACAUUUACACACUACUUUUUGACAGCAACAUCUUAAAUGUACUAUACUAUUCUGACAUUUUUAAGAGAACUUUUAAGAGAAAAUACUUGUGAGUAUCUGCAGUUCAAAUUUAUGCUAUUCUUUCUUUAUGGUAACUCACAAUAUUGUACACUAACUAUCAAAAGAAAGAAAUUUGUGAUUCCCCUGCAAUAUUUGCCUUUGGAUAAAAGAGGAAAAAAAAUCUAAUGCCUUCACAGACUGUAAUAAGUCUAAAAUUCACAAACUAAACCUCUAGUUCUAAUAACAUGGAAAACAUGCUUAACUCUGGUCACUCAAAUACUUCAGGGUAAGUCCACCUUCAUCUGUUGAAUACUCUUGCAUCCUCAGCACAGUAGCCAGGAAAAUUGACUGUGUGACAUAUCCAAGGUUUUUUUUUGUUUUGUUUUUACCAUGGAAGCCACUCUGUGUUCAUGUGCCUGCUUAUCCUACUGCUUGUUGUUGGUUUAGCCUGGCAGGCAGCUCAGCACUACACAGCCGCUCAUUCUGUUUCUGCCACACUCUUCCUCGCAGUGGGAUGAAUGAAAGAAGUGGAAAAAAGGGUAAAACUCGUGGGUUGAUAUAAUUGCAGUUUAUAAAACAGGAAAGGAAGGGAAAAUAAUGAUAUUGGUCUUAGAAGCCGCUAUUUCCCCUCUCCCUACCCCCCUUCUGGACAACUCCCCCAGUUUUAUUGUUCCAUAUAAUGCCAGAUGGCAUGGGAUAUCUCUUUGGCUAGUUUGGGUCUGUUGUCCUGAUUCUGUCCCUCCCCCCAGCUUCUUGUGCACCCUCAGCUCCUCACUGGCAGAGCAAUACAAGAAGCAGAAAAAACCUCAGUGCUGUGCAAGCAUUGCUAUGCAACAGAUAAAUAAUCGGUGUGCUGUCAACAUUAUUGUCAUCUGUCUCGAUCCAAUUUAUCGAAGAGAGAGGAGGUUCUUUGAUAUAUGUAUACCCAGCAUGAGAUUAAGAAACAACGGUUCAAAUGUUGGUCCGACCAGUUUAUUAUAAAUUCUAGUUGUUCAGGGAGAAGGGGAAGGGAGAAGGGGAAGGGAGAAGGGCAAUAGAAAAGAUAGGAAAUGGAAGCAAGGAGUCUGUGUAGGAAGCAAGAGGGAGAUAGUCACCACCAUGGGUUCAAUGUGGUUCGUAGGUCAGUCCUUGAUCUUCAGUAGUGGUGGGUCAUCAGGCGUUGUUGUUCUGUUGACAAGUGUCCACGGCGACGGUGACGAUGGCGACGACAAUGACUGCAAUGGCAAUACAAACUUAUUCAUAAGUCCAAAGUGGUGGAGUCAGCUUUCUUUUGAGUGACAGCUCGAAUCCAAAGUGGUUGAGUCAGCUCUCCUUGGAGUGGCAGCUACUGGCUCUGGGAUCUUAGCAGAAACUGCUUUGUGACCAUCUUCCAGGCCUUGCCAGCAGAUAAGAGGGAGCAGGAAUGCCCAUCUGCAUCCUGUUUUUCACAGGGCACGAUGGUAUCAUUCCCCAAUUUUCCCACACCAAGCUGCGUCUAUUUAGUCACAGGCCAAAUCUUCCGCUAGAAACCACUCCUGAGCACUCUCUUCCAGAGACAAACAGCUCCAAAGAAGUGCUUUCAAAUGUAAAAUUGUCCACACAGUGACGUGUAUUGCCACAGGGCAGCACCCACCUCUCAUCUAAGUCAGAGUCUUAUCGCAAGAAAUGCCUCAGAAAGCAAGCUUUGAGCCAAAAACCAAAGAAGGAUUUAUACAUCAUCCUAAAUACAAAAUGCAGCACCAUACCAGCUACCAGGAAGAAAAUUAACUCUAUCUCCACAGAAAGCACACUGCUUUCUUCUCACAGUAUGGAAUUUGAGGAGGGCUAAAUUAUACCCACUCACAAGGGAACUUGGUAUUGUUUCUCAAUUUAGUAAGCUAGCAUAAUAAGUAUAGCUUUGGAAAAGUAGGCAG